UGGGGAAUUGUUCGCAAUGGGCGCAAGCCUGACGACGCAACGCCGCGUGGAGGAUGAAGAUUUUCGGAUCGUAAACUCCUGUCGAAUGGGACGAAUGGCUCGGCCGUGAACAACGGCCGGGAAUGACGGUACCGUGAGAGGAAGCCCCGGCUAACUCCGUGCCAGCAGCCGCGGUAAUACGGGGGGGGCAAGCGUUGUUCGGAAUUACUGGGCGUAAAGGGCUCGUAGGUGGCCACCUAAGUCCGACGUGAAAUCCCUCGGCUCAACCGGGGAACUGCGUCGGAUACUGGGUGGCUUGAAUCCGGGAGAGGGACGUGGAAUUCCAGGUGUAGCGGUGAAAUGCGUAGAUAUCUGGAGGAACACCGGUGGCGAAGGCGGCGUCCUGGACCGGUAUUGACACUGAGGAGCGAAAGCCAGGGGAGCAAACGGG
rnacentral:rRNA from 1 species